UACGGAGGUGGCGAGCGUUGCUCGGAUUUACUGGGUGUAAAGGGCACGUAGGCGGCCCGGUAAGCCCUACCUAAAAGGCUCUGGCUCAACCAGAGAUCGUGGUGGGGGACUGCCGGGCUUGAGGGCGGGAGAGGUGAGCGGAAUUCCCGGUGUAAGGGUGAAAUCUGUAGAUAUCGGGAGGAACACCAGUGGCGAAAGCGGCUCACUAGUCCGUUUCUGACGCUAAGGUGCGAAAGCUAGGGGAGCAAACAGG
rnacentral:rRNA from 1 species